UUAAAAACACAUGAAUUUUUUAUUUAUAUUUAGAAAGGAAAUAUAAUCCAACUUCUCACCAUACGACAACAGAUCAUAUUCCUGAAAAGAAAUUUAAAUCUGAAGCUCUUCUAUCCACCCUUACGUCAGAUGCCUCUAAGGAAAAUACACUAGGUUGUCGAAAUAAUAAUUCCACAGCCUCUUCUAACAAUGCCUACAAUGUGAAUUCCUCCCAACCUCUGGGAUCCUAUAACAUUGGCUCAUUAUCUUCAGGAACUGGUGCAGGGGCAAUUACCAUGGCAGCUGCUCAAGCAGUUCAGGCUACAGCUCAGAUGAAGGAGGGACGAAGAACAUCAAGUUUAAAAGCCAGUUAUGAAGCAUUUAAGAAUAAUGACUUUCAGUUGGGAAAAGAAUUUUCAAUGGCCAGGGAAACAGUUGGCUAUUCAUCAUCUUCGGCACUUAUGACAACAUUAACACAGAAUGCCAGUUCAUCAGCAGCCGACUCACGGAGUGGUCGAAAGAGCAAAAACAACAACAAGUCUUCAAGCCAGCAGUCAUCAUCUUCCUCCUCCUCUUCUUCCUUAUCAUCGUGUUCUUCAUCAUCAACUGUUGUACAAGAAAUCUCUCAACAAACAACUGUAGUGCCAGAAUCUGAUUCAAAUAGUCAGGUUGAUUGGACUUACGACCCAAAUGAACCUCGAUACUGCAUUUGUAAUCAG
rnacentral:sRNA from 1 species